rnacentral:lncRNA from 1 species
GAAAACAGAGCGCUAAUAAGAUCACAACUAACCACCCCAAAUUACUCGCUGUCGUCACCACAUUUCAGUGUAUUGCAGAAAAUUCAAAUCACAUUAGCCUGUUAUAAACCGCUGGAGCGCCAUAUGAAACCAAAGGCCAGUUAGCAAAAGUAAGGGGGAAAAGCUAAGCUACUUAGCAAAGGUAACGGCAAGAAAUUAAAAGGUGGCCAUUGAUCAUCCUGUGGUCGAGAACGCUUACCUUGUGUUUGAAGCUUGCUUUAACCACUUAGAAUGGGGUAGACCGCACAUAAAGCGUGACUGCGCAUCAACACGAUAAUCCCCACCCACUGUUGUAAACUUAUAGAACAUCUAUAGCUCGCACUAGCCUGUACUGCUACUUACUACUAAACAGCCUGCUCAUCGUGUACUUCGACCGUGCCGUGCUCUUCUAGUCUUUUCAGCAUGUGUUCUUUGCUGCAAGCACUAGAUUCCCCAUUAACGAUGUUCGGCUAAAUAAAAGCAGUGCGAAUGCUCAUGCUACCAGGUAGUACUCCUUUGCUAUAGUCCGCCUUUCUAGCAUCAACCUUUAAUCACCAAAGCCAUAUGCAUGCAUCUCUUCUUUGUCAAAAUUGAGCAACGGUUUCAAAC